AUUGAACGCUGGCGGCAGGCCUAACACAUGCAAGUCGAGCGGAUGAAGGGAGCUUGCUCCUGGAUUCAGCGGCGGACGGGUGAGUAAUGCCUAGGAAUCUGCCUGGUAGUGGGGGAUAACGUCCGGAAACGGGCGCUAAUACCGCAUACGUCCUGAGGGAGAAAGUGGGGGAUCUUCGGACCUCACGCUAUCAGAUGAGCCUAGGUCGGAUUAGCUAGUUGGUGGGGUAAAGGCCUACCAAGGCGACGAUCCGUAACUGGUCUGAGAGGAUGAUCAGUCACACUGGAACUGAGACACGGUCCAGACUCCUACGGGAGGCAGCAGUGGGGAAUAUUGGACAAUGGGCGAAAGCCUGAUCCAGCCAUGCCGCGUGUGUGAAGAAGGUCUUCGGAUUGUAAAGCACUUUUAGUUGGGAGGAAGGGCAGUAAGUUUAUACCUUGCUGUUUUGACGUUACCAACAGAAUAAGCACCGGCUAACUUCGUG
rnacentral:rRNA from 1 species